GAUGAACGCUGGCGGCGUGCCUAAUACAUGCAAGUCGAGCGAACAGACGAGGAGCUUGCUCCUCUGACGUCAGCGGCGGACGGGUGAGUAACACGUGGAUAACCUACCUAUAAGACUGGGAUAACUUCGGGAAACCGGAGCUAAUACCGGAUAAUAUAUUGAACCGCAUGGUUCAAUAGUGAAAGACGGUUUUGCUGUCACUUAUAGAUGGAUCCGCGCCGCAUUAGCUAGUUGGUAAGGUAACGGCUUACCAAGGCAACGAUGCGUAGCCGACCUGAGAGGGUGAUCGGCCACACUGGAACUGAGACACGGUCCAGACUCCUACGGGAGGCAGCAGUAGGGAAUCUUCCGCAAUGGGCGAAAGCCUGACGGAGCAACGCCGCGUGAGUGAUGAAGGUCUUCGGAUCGUAAAGCUCUGUUAUUAGGGAAGAACAAAUGUGUAAGUAACUAUGCACGUCUUGACGGUACCUAAUCAGAAAGCCACGGCUAACUACGUG
rnacentral:rRNA from 1 species